rnacentral:tRNA from 1 species
UGUGGCUCAAUGAUAGAGGGCUUGCCUAGCAUGCAUGAGGCCCUGGGUUCCAUCCCCAGCA